GAUGAACGCUGGCGGCGUGCCUAAUACAUGCAAGUCGAGCGAACGGACGAGAAGCUCGCUUCUCUGAUGUUAGCGGCGGACGGGCGAGUAACACAUGGAUAAGCUACUAAUAAGACUGGGAUAACUUCGGAAAACCGGAGCUCAUACCGGAUAAUAUUUUGAACUGCAUGGUUCAAAGGUGAAAGACGGUCUUGCUGUCACUUAUAGAUGGAUCCGCGCUGCAUUAGCUAGUUGGUAAGGUAACGGCUUACCAAGGCAACGAUGCAUAGCCGACCUGAGAGGGUGAUCGGCCACACUGGAACUGAGACACGGUCCAGACUCCUACGGGAGGCAGCAGUAGGGAAUCUUGCGCAAUGGGCGAAGGCCUGACGGAGCAACGCCGCGUGAGUGAUGAAGGUCUUCGGAUCGUAAGACUCUGUUAUUGGGGAAGAACAUAUGUAUAAGUAACUGUGCACAUCUUGACGGUACCUAAUCAGAAAGCCACGGCUAACUACGUG
rnacentral:rRNA from 1 species